rnacentral:rRNA from 1 species
UACAGAGGUCUCAAGCGUUGUUCGGAUUCAUUGGGCGUAAAGGGUGCGUAGGUGGCAUGGUAAGUCGGAUGUGAAAUCCCGGGGCUCAACCCCGGAACUGCAUUCGAUACUGCUGAGCUAGAGUACUGGAGAGGAGAUUGGAAUUUACGGUGUAGCAGUGAAAUGCGUAGAUAUCGUAAGGAAGACCAGUGGCGAAGGCGGAUUUCUGGACAGUUACUGACACUGAGGCACGAAGGCCAGGGGAGCAAACGGG